GCCCCUGUGGUGAAAUUGGUAGACACACCGGACUUAAAAUCCGUUGCUCGCAAGAGCGUGCCGGUUCGAUUCCGGCCGGGGGCACCA
rnacentral:tRNA from 1 species